AGUCCCAUUCUGCAAACGGUGCUGCACCAGUUGAGUAGUCCUCGACUUAAGACCGGUUGAGUAGUCCUCGACUUACGACCGGUUGGGGGUCACGGCAUUAAAAAGGUUGAAAACCACUGAUCUAAGAGAACUCUCGGCUUGCAAUUAUAACAGCUAAAAAUGGCCGCCACUGCGGUAUAGACUGAAACUAAGUGACAUGGCUACACAGGCCUCUUUUUGGUCAUAAUUUUGAAAUUCUACUGUAAGUAGCCUUUCUGAAUUAAUUUGUUUUUGUGAAAACUCGCUAAUGAAACGCUAGUACCUGGGGAAUUACCUGUAAAUGUCUCCAGUGUGGAAAGAGCUUUACUGAAGAUUUAAAGAUCUCCGUAAAUAAAGAAUUUACACAGGAGAGAAACCCCAUGAAAGCCUGCAAUCUGGAAGGAGCUUCAACAGGACAGGAUCUCUGUAUAGACAUCAAAGCAUUCACACAGGAGGAAAAGUAUAUAAAUGUCUGGAGAGCGGAAGGAACUUUAGUCAGAGGGGAAACCUUUACAGGCAUCAAAGACGCCAUUCAGGAGAGAAAUCAUAUAAACGCCUGGAGCGUGGAAAGAGUUUCAGUGGACAAACUAUUAUAUAUAUUAAAGACUAGAGAUUUCUCUAGGAAAGAAAUCAUAUCACUGUCUGUGUGUAGAAAGGGAUUCUGUGAGAAGGGAAUUCUUUAUAAGCAUCAAUCCACUCGGGAGAAAAAGCAUACAAAUGUCUUGAGUGUGGAAAGAGCUUUAUUGUCAGUGGACACCUCCAUCGACAUCAAAGGACUCACAUGGGAACCAAAUUCUAAAUAUGCCUGUGUGUGGAAAGUCCUUUGAUCACAACAGUGCCACUAAAAUGACAAUAGCAUUUCGACCGAUAUACCGCCCCAUAGUGCUUUACAGCGCACUCUGGUAGAUUUACAAGGGGCAUGUAAUCUUAAGAGUACAAGUUUAUUGAAUCCCACAAACUCGAAUCACGAUUUCUUCGGAUUGGUGAGCGGAAUAAUGUGGCUGUAAAACAGGUCGGUUGUACAGGUCGCCUUAAACAACUUCAGCGGUGAAGUACUAAACUACAGGUAAUCCUCAAGCUUUCCGUGCCAAGGCAAUUAAAUCGAAGUGGUCUGAGCCUUGACAAGUGCUGCUCAGCACCCCCACUGCAGUAAAGGUUGAGGGGCUAAAGGCGUAGGUCCAUGGAUCCAGAAUGAAGAAGGUGUCGCCUCCAUC